AUGGAUCCUAGUAGCUGCAAAAGGCACAAGCAUGAUACUGGGCAUGAUAGCUUGCCAGGCACCCAAUCUCCGUCAAGCAUCAUCAGUCAUACCAGAUCUGUGCGUCUUAGGUUUCUCGAACGAUUCGACGAGUUGAAGUAUGGGAGUGCCACUGAAGAUUACAAGGCAAUUGAGAGAAAGAAGCACCAACUUAUCAGCACCCUUGAAAAGCUGCAACAAGUACCUAUCAAGUUGCCCUGUGCCAGCGCCACGCUCGAGACAUCAGAUGCAGGAUUACAUGGUGCUGCACAAAGUGAGAGAAAUAUUAGUUCUGAUAAUAUUGUCGACUUGGAUCAGUAUGAUGUUGGAGAUCAUACCCAUGGUAACAUGGACAGUACUGAGGCUCAGAAAACGGUCAUUUUACUUGAUUCCGAUGAUGAGGACAUGGUUAAAUCCUUCGGAGAUGGAAAUUUAUCUGAUUCUAAGCAAAAUGCCGAUUUUACCCAAGAUUGCAUGCCGGCUGAGCAGCCUUGCCAAGACCAGGACAUCAUCAUGCGCAAUGAUGAGAAUAUCAAUUCUGAAGCUCUUGUAGUUGAUCCAGGAAAGCACAGCAUGGGUAUCGACAAUGAGCCAAAGGAAAUUGCUUUAUUCGAUGGCCAUGAUACUUCAGAGCCACAACAACUGAACAAGCAAGGACAUUAUCACAUAAACAUUCACAAUGAGAGUCGUGAUGAGGAGAAAGAAACAAGGGAAGGAGAAGGUGAAGAUGUCCAAAGUAAAGGCCACAUGGAGAACAACAAUAUAUCUGCUGUAGAUUCUUAUGAAAUAUCUUGUGAGGUCAUACAAAGUGAAUCCAUGGAAGAGGGAAAUUAUAAUCACAUUGAUACCAUUGACAAUCCAGUUGAUGAGCUGGAUGACCUUUGGAAGGACAUGUCGGUUGCACUGGCAAUGUCGAAGACCAUUGGAAGUGAUCACAGUAUUGUUCCGUCAGAGAAGAAUAGUUCUGAAGUAGUGGAUGAUUGUCAUCAUGACUUCGUGAUGAAAGAUGAUUUGGGCAUUGUGUGCCGUGUUUGUGGUUUGAUCCAGCAACGCAUUGAGAAUAUUUUUGAGUUACAGUGGAAAAAGCGCAACCGAUCCUACAGAACGUAUCCGCAAGAACCCAGAAACUGCAACAAUCUAGAGGCAACUACUAAUCCUUCAGGAGAUAUUCUUCAAGUUGCCCCUGGUACUCUGUCAAUCCACCCUCAGCAUUCAGAACGGAUGAAGCCUCACCAAGUGGAAGGUUUUAAUUUCUUGAUCAAGAACUUAGCAGAUGAGAACAACCCUGGAGGUUGUAUUCUAGCACAUGCACCAGGUUCUGGAAAGACUUUCAUGCUGAUUAGCUUUGUUCAAAGCUUCCUGGCCAGAUACCCAGCAGGAAGGCCAUUGAUUAUCCUUCCAAAGGGCAUUCUGGCAACAUGGAGAACAGAAUUUGUCCGUUGGCAAAUUAAGGACAUGCCCAUUCCCCUGUAUGACUUCUACUCCUCCAAAGCUGAUAGCCGGUCUGAACAACUCAAUGUUUUGAACCUGUGGGAAGAAAAGAGAAGCAUAUUGCUGCUAGGGUAUCAGCAAUUUGCAUGCAUAGUGUCGGAUCAGACGUAUAAAGCAGAAGCAGUCAUGUGCCAAGAGAAGUUGCUGAAGGUCCCGAGUCUUGUCAUUCUAGAUGAAGGCCACACUCCGAGAAAUGAGCAAACUGACCUACUCAAUGCACUUGGAAGUAUAAGGACUCCUAGAAAAGUGGUGCUCUCAGGAACCUUGUUUCAGAAUCAUGUCAAGGAGGUCUUCAACAUCUUGAACCUUGUCCGUCCAAAAUUCUUGAAAACAGAGCGAUCUCGUGGGAUAGUGAAGCGCGUACUAAGCAAAGUGGACAUGUUGGGGAAAAAUGCAAGGUCAAGGAACAUUUCAGAUAAGUUCUGUGAUUUGGUUGAAGAAAACCUUCAGAAGGACGCAAAUGAUAAAAUGAGAGCGAUGAUCAUCGAGAGUCUACGCGAGCUAACUGCAAACGUGCUCCACUAUUAUCAAGGCGAGCUUUCGGAGGAGCUACCAGGACUUUUGGACUUGACCGUUUUUCUGAAAAUGAGUACUGAGCAGGAAGAGAUCCUGAGGGGUUUGGUGGGACUGGGGAAAUUCAGCAAAAGUGCAAAAUGCAGUGCUGUUUCUCUUCAUCCGUGCUUAAAGGAUAUCCAGAACAUUAAAGACAAGAACCGAGAUAUUGUCGUUGAGAAGAUCGGUUCCAUCAUGCGUGGAAUUGAUAUCAAAGUUGGGGCAAAGGCAAAGUUUAUAUACAAUUUGCUGUGUCUUUCCGAAGCUGCAGGAGAGAAGGUACUCGUGUUCAGCCGCUACGUGCGUUUUCUGAUUUUCUUGGAAAUGCUGGUCGUAAGAGAGAAAGGAUGGGUUCCAGAUAUGCACAUUUUCAGCAUGACCGGUGAAUCAACUCCAGACCAGCGAGACAAGGCGGUCGAGAGAUUCAACCAAUCACCGGACGCUAAGGUUUUCUUUGGUUCCAUCAAGGCAUGCGGCGAGGGCAUCUCCCUCGUCGGUGCGUCGCGCGUUGUCAUUCUGGACGUCCAUGAAAACCCGUCCGUGAUGCGCCAGGCGAUCGGGCGUGCUUUCAGACCAGGUCAGUCCAAAAUGGUGUACUGCUACCGCCUUGUCGCCGCCGACUCGCCGGAAGAGGAGGAUCACAACACGGCAUUCCGAAAGGAAUGGGUGUCCAAGAUGUGGUUCGAAUCAAAUGAUCUUUGUGGCAAUGAUAAUUUUGAGCUUGCCACUGUGGACGUUUCAGAGAGCGGGGACAGGUUUCUCGACAACGAGGCGUUGCGACAAGAUAUCAAAUCUCUAUACAAAAGGUGA
rnacentral:rRNA from 1 species